rnacentral:rRNA from 1 species
GACGUAGGGUGCGAGCGUUGUCCGGAUUUAUUGGGCGUAAAGAGCUCGUAGGCGGCUCGUCGCGUCAGCUGUGAAAACCCGCGGCUUAACCGUGGGCUUGCAGCUGAUACGGGCGGGCUAGAGUUCGGUAGGGGAGACUGGAAUUCCUGGUGUAGCGGUGAAAUGCGCAGAUAUCAGGAGGAACACCGGUGGCGAAGGCGGGUCUCUGGGCCGAUACUGACGCUGAGGAGCGAAAGCGUGGGGAGCGAACAGG